AAUCAAUCCACUGAAAGAAGUCUGGAUAAUUUAUCAGCUGUGGCAAAAAGCGGGGAAGCAUGGAGCAACUUCUGUCCUCCAAUUCAAGCAAUGACAGCAGAUCUGGAAACUGAAAGACC